rnacentral:rRNA from 1 species
CCUUGUACACACCGCCCGUCAAGCCACGAAAGCUGGUAUACCUGAAGUCGCUGGCCUAACCCGAAAGGGAGGGAGGCGCCGACGGUAGGAUCGGUGAUUGGGACU